rnacentral:rRNA from 1 species
AAAAAGCGGAGGAAAAGAAACCAACAGGGAUUGCCUCAGUAACGGCGAGUGAAGCGGCAAAAGCUCAAAUUUGAAAUCUGGUACCUUCGGUGCCCGAGUUGUAAUUUGAAGAUUGUACUCUGGAGUUGGCCCUUGUCUAUGUUCCUUGGAACAGGACGUCACAGAGGGUGAGAAUCCCGUGCGAUGGGGUGUCCAAUUCCAUGUAGAGUGCUAUCGAAGAGUCGAGUUGUUUGGGAAUGCAGCUCUAAGUGGGUGGUAAAUUCCAUCUAAAGCUAAAUAUUGGCGAGAGACCGAUAGCGAACAAGUACAGUGAUGGAAAGAUGAAAAGAACUUUGAAAAGAGAGUGAAAAAGUACGUGAAAUUGUUGAAAGGGAAGGUUAUUAGAUCAGACUUGGUGUUUGGCGAUAUUCAGCCUCUUGUAGGCUGUUCACUCGUCUUUCACUGGGCCAGCAUCGGUUUGGAUGGCAGGAUAAUGGCUGUUGAACGUGGCUCUUCGGAGUGUUAUAGCUUCAGCUGAUACUGCCUAUCUAGACCGAGGACUGCGGCUUUCGAGCCUAGGAUGCUGGCGUAAUGAUCUAAUAUCGCCCGUCUUGACC